rnacentral:rRNA from 1 species
GAUGAACGCNGGCGGCGUGCCUAAUACAUGCAAGUCGAGCGAACGGACGAGAAGCUUGCUUCUCUGAUGUUAGCGGCGGACGGGUGAGUAACACGUGGAUAACCUACCUAUAAGACUGGGAUAACUUCGGGAAACCGGAGCUAAUACCGGAUAAUAUUUUGAACCGCAUGGUUCAAAAGUGAAAGACGGUCUUGCUGCCACUUAUAGAUGGAUCCGCGCUGCAUUAGCUAGUUGGUAAGGUAACGGCUUACCAAGGCAACGAUGCAUAGCCGACCUGAGAGGGUGAUCGGCCACACUGGAACUGAGACACGGUCCAGACUCCUACGGGAGGCAGCAGUAGGGAAUCUUCCGCAAUGGGCGAAAGCCUGACGGAGCAACGCCGCGUGAGUGAUGAAGGUCUUCGGAUCGUAAAACUCUGUUAUUAGGGAAGAACAUAUGUGUAAGUAACUGUGCACAUCUUGACGGUACCUAAUCAGAAAGCCACGGCUAACUACGUGCCAGCAGCCGCGGUAAUACGUAGGUGGCAAGCGUUAUCCGGAAUUAUUGGGCGUAAAGCGCGCGUAGGCGGUUUUUUAAGUCUGAUGUGAAAGCCCACGGCUCAACCGUGGAGGGUCAUUGGAAACUGGAAAACUUGAGUGCAGAAGAGGAAAGUGGAAUUCCAUGUGUAGCGGUGAAAUGCGCAGAGAUAUGGAGGAACACCAGUGGCGAAGGCGACUUUCUGGUCUGUAACUGACGCUGAUGUGCGAAAGCGUGGGGAUCAAACAGG